AGCAGCCGCGGUAAUUCCAGCUCCAAUAGCGUAUAUUAAAGUUGUUGCAGUUAAAAAGCUCGUAGUUGAAUUUCGGGGUUAGUAGAUUGGUCGUGCCUCCGGUAUGUACUGGUCUUACUGACUCCUCCUUCUUGAAGAACUGUAAUGCCAUUAAUUUGGUGUUUUGGGGAAUCUGGACUGUUACUUUGAAAAAUUAGAGUGUUUAAGGCAGGCUAACGCUUGAAUACAUUAGCAUGGAAUAAUGAAAUAGGACGUUCGAUCCUAUUUUGUUGGUUUCUAGGAUUGACGUAAUGAUUAAUAGGGACAGUUGGGGGCAUUAGUAUUCAAUUGUCAGAGGUGAAAUUCUUGGAUUUAUUGAAGACUGACUACUGCGAAAGCAUUUGCCAAGGAUGUUUUCAUUAAUCAAGAACGAAAGUUAGGGGAUCGAAGACGAUCAGAUACC
rnacentral:rRNA from 1 species